rnacentral:rRNA from 1 species
GACAGAGGGUGCAAACGUUGCUCGGAAUUACUGGGCGUAAAGCGCGUGUAGGCGGUUUCGCAAGUCGGGUGUGAAAGCCCAGGGCUCAACCCUGGAAGUGCACUCGAUACUACGGAGCUGGAGUACUGAAGAGGAGAGCGGAAUUCCCGGUGUAGAGGUGAAAUUCGUAGAUAUCAAGAGGAACACCAGUGGCGAAGGCGACUCUCUGGGCAGAUACUGACACUGAGACGCGAAAGCAUGAGGAGCAAACAGG